CGCGAAGCUGCCAGCCCAGAUUUGCUAGGCUCACGGAGCGGGGAGCUCAGCCAGGAAACCUGGAUUAAGAAUAUCGCUUCCUUAACUCUCCAGGACUUUAGAGCAUUUGCCAUACUGGCAAUAAAGACUCAUUUCAGAGAUCGGGGAAGUGUUUGAUCAAAAGCUGAAAUCCAAGUCAUAGGAAGCAUUUGUCCAGAGGGUGCUGCUGUGGUGGGAUGCCCAGGCGAGGAAGUCCAUGGCUCCAGAGAGCACUCCAGGAGUGAGGUGAGAGAAAUGAACCUGCCUCUUAUAACGACGGCAUCUCAAACCAUGCUCUGAGAAGUUUCACCGUUGGUGUUAAAUUUAAAAUAUUCUUUUAUUUCCUUUUCUAUCUCUUUGGAGAGUGAUCAAAUAAGAGAGAU